GAACAUGUUUAAAAUUGUGCGUUUUGGGUGGUCUAUGAUUCAGGUACAUUUUGGCUUGCACUCUGGGAAUUUGGCUGAUCAACCGAUCGGCCAAAAUUUGACCAGACUGCAGUUCAGUCCAAAAACAAUCUCCAAGUCUACUAUCCUAUGCGAUCAGUGGCUCUCCUUUAUAACCUAAUACCAGCCAUACCACUGAUUCUGUCAGUUUAUACACAGGUCAGGUCACAGUUUUAUAAAGAGGGCUGUGUGCAGUAAUUGUGCAACCUGCAGGAAGAGAUAGAGCCAUCCAGCUUGUGUGUAUGAACGCCACAUGCACAUGUUGGACAGAUGUGAUACUGAAAAUAAGAAAGUAAAACUUCCUCCCUUUGAUAUAACAGUUCCAGGGUGCAGGUUUAUAGUGGUGUAAUUUUUGGAAAUAAUUGCAGUUAUAAUUAACCCUGGGAAGGAAAAAGGGUAGUAUCGGAAGCUAUGAUACUGUUGUUAUGAUGCUUGGUGUAACUCUUUAAUUUACAUUUUAAAGGAGCACUAUAGGGUCAGGAACACAAACAAGUAUUCCUGACCCUAGAGGGUUAAAACCAC